GGCUACCUCGUUAACAUUUCUUUUCGUUAAGAGACUCUGCUAUUCAGCGACUAAAAAAUCCCAUUGAAAAAUCGUCAAUCUCUCUCGAUGUAUUAUGCAGUGCUUUUUUGAAAGGAAAAAGCGCCAAGGGAAAGACCACAUGUAUGUCAAGUAAACAAGACGACCAGCGGACAGGUACGCUUCAUGUCCAAGGUAUAGCUUACGAGGAAAUUAAAUAGACGUUGCCAAGAGGCGGUAAUAAAUGAGCUCAACGAGUAUAAAUAAUUGGGUGAAUUAACUUGGAUGAAGAUUGUCGUUUGGUAAUUUGUCCCCAAUAACGUGUGAAUGAGCAGUGGCUUGGACCCUUAUCACCGUAAUCUGGAGUACCCAAAAGAGGAUGGAGUUAUUGAAAAUUUUGUACAUGGAGUUGAGAAGAAUCUAAAUAAUGAGUUCGUCUCGUCCAAGCAAGGUUGGACUGUAGAUAACGCAGCAAGAAUUAUGGGAGGACAUCCUUUAGCGCCAUUCUCAUGCAAAUGCGCGGUAGAUUAUGGGUCCUUGUG